CCAUCAAAUUUUAUUUUAUUUCUUAUGAUUAUCAUCAUUUUGCAAAUAGAAACAGAGGUUAAUAUGUACAACACCAAUUCUGGCAUUGGCUAGCUAGCUACAAAUACAUAAGAGUGCCGAUACAUGUACCAACUUAGGUGGACAUACCACUCUCCACCAUCCUUAGUUGGCAAAAUUUAAUAAUAAAAAAUUCUGUUUAUUUGAAAAAUAAAAUAAAAUUAAUUGAUUAUUCUCACUUCUCUCUCUUACUUAACUUAUCUCCCCUCCCUCUCACUUACUCAAUCUCUCCCUCUCUUUUCCGACCAUCCGCCGCCCUCCGCCAUGGCGCCGUCAGACUGCUUUUUCUCCCAAAUACUCUUUCUUCUCCGACCAGCAAAUUAGAACCAUAUCCAUCAAUAAUAGAAUGAGCAUGCAGAAGCAUCAAAUGCUUAUCAUUAGAACAAGCUGCAAAGGCGAAAGCGUAGGUGAAGUUAUCAGGGGCAAGAUUGGUAUUUCGACGCAAAUGAAUGUAUAGAGAAAUGGAAGAAGGUGAAUCAUUGCGGGAGGAGCCACAAACGAUGACAUUGAAGAAGAGGAUGUCGAGUUUGAGAACAGAGAAGAAGAGGGCGCGUGCAUGAACACCUCAUAGCCGGCGACGGCAUAAAUCUGAAAAAAUAAACCAAAACGCCUUGGUGGAGUAGAAGGGUUUUCGAUUCGAUGGUGGUUACAACUGUACGCCGAAGACGGUGGUCAUAGAACGGCGGUCGUCGACGAGGAACAAAUCUGUUAUGAUAGAGAGAAGAGGAGGAUGAAAGGGAGUGUUGUUUUGUUGUUCAAAUACAGAUAGAGAGAGAGAGAGAGGGUGGUUCAAAGAAGUUCGGUGGACCGUGGUGGUGGCCGGUGGCGGAGAGAGGAGGAAGUGUGAGAGGGAUAAAGGGGAUGGGAGAUAGAGCGUGAAGGAGUUACAGAGAGAGAGGGUUUGUUUGAUUUUUUGUUUUUAAUUUAAUUUAAUUUUCUUUAAUCAAUUUCCAACAAAGCAAUAAUGCCACAUCAUGAGUGGUACAAUGGGUGGAUGACAACAAAGUGUGUCUAUCGAACAUUACCCAAUACAUAAUACAAUUGAGACAACAAUUUUAUGCUGGAAUUCUGAAAGAAAAGAAAAAUCCCUAUCAUAAAUUAAACCAAAUAGGCUCUUAUCAAUGAGUAUUUUUAGGCAUAAAUGAAAAUUCAAAUAUUCAUCCAUCCAAUGUUCU
rnacentral:lncRNA from 1 species